rnacentral:rRNA from 1 species
GAUGAACGCUGGCGGCGUGCCUAAUACAUGCAAGUCGAGCGAAUGGAUUAAGAGCUUGCUCUUAUGAAGUUAGCGGCGGACGGGUGAGUAACACGUGGGUAACCUGCCCAUAAGACUGGGAUAACUCCGGGAAACCGGGGCUAAUACCGGAUAACAUUUUGAACCGCAUGGUUCGAAAUUGAAAGGCGGCUCCGGCUGUCACUUAGGGAUGGACCCGCGUCGCAUUAGCUAGUUGGUGAGGUAACGGCUCCCCAAGGCAACGAUGCGUAGCCGACCUGAGAGGGUGAUCGGCCACACGGGGACUGAGACACGGCCCAGACUCCUACGGGAGGCAGCAGUAGGGAAUCUUCCGCAAUGGACGAAAGUCUGACGGAGCAACGCCGCGUGAGUGAUGAAGGCUUUCGGGUCGUAAAACUCUGUUGUUAGGGAAGAACAAGUGCUAGUUGAAUAAGCUGGCACCUUGACGGUACCUAACCAGAAAGCCACGGCUAACUACGUGCCAGCCGCCGCGGUAA